GACGAACGCUGGCGGCGUGCUUAACACAUGCAAGUCGAACGGAAAGGCCCUGCUCUUGUGGGGUGCUCGAGUGGCGAACGGGUGAGUAACACGUGAGUAACCUGCCCUUGACUUUGGGAUAACUUCAGGAAAAUGGGGCUAAUAUCGGAUAGGAGCUCCUGCUGCAUGGUGGGGGUUGGAAAGAUUCGGCGGUUGGGGAUGGACUCGCGGCUUAUCAGCUUGUUGGUGGGGUAGUGGCUUACCAAGGCUUUGACGGGUAGCCGGCCUGAGAGGGUGACCGGCCACAUUGGGACUGAGGUACGGCCCAGACUCCUACGGGAGGCAGCGGUGGGGAAUAUUGCACAAUGGGCGGAAGCCUGAUGCAGCAACGCCGCGUGCGGGAUGACGGCCUUCGGGUUGUAAACCGCUUUCGCCUGUGACGAAGCGUGAGUGACGGUAAUGAGUAAAGAAGCACCGGCUAACUACGUG
rnacentral:rRNA from 1 species